CCUGCCCGUCUCAGGGGGAUAGAUCGUCGGAAACGGCGUCUAAUACCCCGUAUGAAGCUGGACGGCAUCGUCUGGUUUUGAAAGAAUAUCGGAGACGGAUGGGCAUGCGGCGCAUUAGCUAGUUGGCGGGGUAACGGCCCACCAAGGCGACGAUGCGUAGGGGUUCUGAGAGGAAGGUCCCCCACACUGGUACUGAGACACGGACCAGACUCCUACGGGAGGCAGCAGUGAGGAAUAUUGGUCAAUGGGCGAGAGCCUGAACCAGCCAAGUCGCGUGAGGGAGUACUGCCCUAUGGGUUGUAAACCUCUUUUGUCGGGGAGCAAAAGCCGGACGUGUCCGUCUGUGAGAGUACCCGAAGAAAAAGCAUCGGCUAACUCCGUGCCAGCAGCCGCGGUAAUACGGAGGAUGCGAGCGUUAUCCGGAUUUAUUGGGUUUAAAGGGUGCGCAGGCGGAUUUUUAAGUCAGCGGUCAAAUCGUGGGGCUCAACCCCAUCCAGCCGUUGAAACUGGGGAUCUAGAGUGUGCGAGAGGUAUGCGGAAUGCGUGGUGUAGCGGUGAAAUGCAUAGAUAUCACGCAGAACCCCGAUUGCGAAGGCAGCAUACCGGUGCACAACUGACGCUCAGGCACGAAAGCGUGGGUAUCGAACAGGAUUAGAUACCCUGGUAGUCCACGCAGUAAACGAUGAAUGC
rnacentral:rRNA from 1 species